rnacentral:rRNA from 1 species
UACAGAGGUGGCAAGCGUUGUUCGGAAUUACUGGGCGUAAAGCGCACGUAGGCGGCUCUUUAAGUCGGGGGUGAAAUCCUGGAGCUCAACUCCAGAACUGCCUUCGAUACUGUAGAGCUUGAGUUCGGGAGAGGUGAGUGGAACUGCGAGUGUAGAGGUGAAAUUCGUAGAUAUUCGCAAGAACACCAGUGGCGAAGGCGGCUCACUGGCCCGAUACUGACGCUGAGGUGCGAAAGCGUGGGGAGCAAACAGG